UACGAAGGGGGCUAGCGUUGCUCGGAAUCACUGGGCGUAAAGGGUGCGUAGGCGGGUUUUUAAGUCAGGGGUGAAAUCCUGGAGCUCAACUCCAGAACUGCCUUUGAUACUGGAGAUCCUUCGAGUCCGGGGAGAGGUGAGUGGAACUGCGAGUGUAGAGGUGAAAUUCGUAGAUAUUCGCAAGAACACCAGUGGCGAAGGCGGCUCACUGGCCCGGUACUGACGCUGAGGUGCGGAAAGCGUGGGGA
rnacentral:rRNA from 1 species